rnacentral:ncRNA from 1 species
CGUGCAAAUCGAUCGAUAGACUUGGGUAUAGGGGCGAAAGACUAAUCGAACCAUCUAGUAGCUGGUUCCUUCCGAAGUUUCCCUCAGGAUAGCUGGAACUCUUGCAGUUAUAUUCGGUAAAGCUAAUGAUUAGAGGCCUUGGGGACGUAAUGUCCUCAACCUAUUCUCAAACUUUCAAUGGAUAUGGCGUCGCAGUUUCUUUAGUGAACUGCGGCGUGAAUGCGAGUUCCAAGUGGGCCAUUUUUGGUAAGCAGAACUGGCGCUGUGGGAUGAACCAAACGUGGAGUUAAGGUGCCUAACUUCUCGCUUAUGAGACCCCAUAAAAGGUGUUGGUUGAUAUUGACAGCAGGACGGUGGCCAUGGAAGUCGGUACCCGCUAAGGAGUGUGUAACAACUCACCUGCCGAAUCAACUAGCCCUGAAAAUGGAUGGCGCUUAAGCGAGAGACCUAUACUCCGCCGUCGCGGCAUGUGCGUUGUCUAGCGCCAGGUCGCGACGAGUAGGAAGGACGUGGCGGUUGCGUUGAAGGCUAUGAGCGUAGGCUCGGCUGGAGCUUCCGUCAGUGCAGAUCGUAAUGGUAGUAGCAAAUAUUCAAGUUCGAUCCUUGAAGACUGAAGUGGAGAACGGUUCCACGUGAACAGUAGUUGGAUGUGGGUCAGUCGAUCCUAAGGUACUGGCGAAAGCCCUUGUAUCAUCGGUGGCGAAAAGCUUGCUUUUUGUCCCCGCCCGUCGAAAGGGAAUAGGGUUAAUAUUCCCUAACUGAGAUGCAAAGAUUGUGUUCUUCGGAGCACAAGCGCGGUAACGCGUUCGAACUUGGUAAGUCGCUCAGAGACCGAGCUAGAGUUUUCUUCUCUAGUUAAGGAACGGACUCCCUGGAAUUGGUUCAGCCAGAGAUGGGGACGUUGUUUCCGAAAAGCACCGCGGUUUCUGUGGUGUCUCGUGCUCUCUGAACGGCCCUUUAAACACCAAGGGAGGCUAUUAAUUUGCACUCAAUCGUACCGAUAUCCGCAUUAGGUCUCCAAGGUGAACAGCCUCUAGUCGAUAGAAUAAUGUAGGUAAGGGAAGUCGGCAAACUAGAUCCGUAACUUCGGGAAAAGGAUUGGCUCCAGUGGUCGGAACGGUUGGCCAGUUGGUUGAUGCUUGUCCGGCGCUGUUCUGUCUGCUUGAUGCUUUCGGGCUGAUGGCGGCCUAGUGAUAGUGCUUGCUUGUUGACGCUUUCUGGUGUGUGCUUUGACCUCGGUCUUAGUAUCCUGAUCGUUCAUCUAAACGACUAAACUGGAACCGGUACGGACUCAGGGAAUCCGACUGUCUAAUUAA